UACGUAGGGUGCAAGCGUUGUCCGGAAUUAUUGGGCGUAAAGAGCUCGUAGGCGGUUCGUCGCGUCGGCUGUGAAAUCCCGAGGCUCAACCUCGGGUCUGCAGUCGAUACGGGCGGACUGGAGUACUGCAGGGGAGACUGGAAUUCCUGGUGUAGCGGUGAAAUGCGCAGAUAUCAGGAGGAACACCGGUGGCGAAGGCGGGUCUCUGGGCAGUUACUGACGCUGAGGAGCGAAAGCGUGGGUAGCAAACAGG
rnacentral:rRNA from 1 species